GAAAGCCUGUUAAAUAUUUAUGAGUAUUGAAAUGUUGCCUCGAUGCAUAUUAUAACAAAUGAAACGUCAAUUUCAUGCAAAAAAUGCAAACAGAAGCGACAUCCCAAGGAUGGCUGAUGUAGAUCUGCCCCACCAGACAGAAAAGGACAUGGAGCUGGACAUGGGCUGCCAGGAACUCUCCAACUCCAGUACCUAGGCGAAAUAAGGUGCAGUUGCCUCUGCCGGCACGUGACAGGCCUAUGACCGAAGGACAAGUGGGUGUCCAUCUCGUUCGGAUCCGUCGGCUCCUCAUUGCGGCGUCCCUUGGUUUUUGCACAAUUUUAUUUUGGAAUUGCAUGCAUGGCCCUGAGGACUGCAGCACAUUCAAUUUGGAAGCUCAAGUGGUGUUCGACCACAUAAGACAUACAUUUCAUGGGCCUUUGGAAUAGACAAUGGGAUAGGACGGACAUUGGCCCACAAUGAGAAAAAAAACCCAAGAAGCGCUAAGAACUUAAAGAGCAAACAGAUGCAAUGGCAACCCGAAAAGCAGCAGGCUAAUUUGUGAGGGAGCAAUAAAAAUUGUUUAUUGAAACGAAAAAAGUGUGCGCCAGAGAAACUUGAAAUAUACUCCCCGCGUCUCUCUACACACCCA